CUACGGGUGGCUGCAGUGAGGAAUAUUGCACAAUGGGGGGAGCCCUGAUGCAGCAACGCCGCGUGGAGGAUGACGCAUUUCGGUGUGUAAACUCCUUUUAUAUGUCAAGAAAAUGACGGUAGCAUAUGAAUAAGCACCGGCUAACUCCGUGCCAGCAGCCGCGGUAAUACGGAGGGUGCAAGCGUUACUCGGAAUCACUGGGCGUAAAGGACGCGUAGGCGGGUUGGAAAGUCAGGUGUGAAAUCCUACAGCUUAACUGUAGAACUGCACUUGAAACUUCUAAUCUAGAGUAUGGGAGGGGGAGAUGGAAUUAGUGGUGUAGGGGUAAAAUCCGUAGAUAUCACUAGGAAUACCUAAAGCGAAGGCGAUCUCCUGGAACAUUACUGACGCUAAGGCGUGAAAGCGUGGGGAGCGAACAGGAUUAGAUACCCUGGUAGUC
rnacentral:rRNA from 1 species